GCGUCAGCGAUGAAUUCUUUGUCUUUUCUCUAGAGUGGUGUUGACUUAAAUGUCUUGUGCAAUAGGGUCAUGCUGCGGAC
rnacentral:snoRNA from 1 species